rnacentral:rRNA from 1 species
GACGAACGCUGGCGGCGUGCUUAACACAUGCAAGUCGAACGGAAAGGCCCUGCUAUUGUGGGGUUCUCGAGUGGCGAACGGGUGAGUAACACGUGAGUAACCUGCCCUUGACUUUGGGAUAACUUCAGGAAACUGGGGCUAAUACCGGAUAGGAGCUCCCGCUGCAUGGUGGGGGUUGGAAAGUCUCGGCGGUUGGGGAUGGACGCGCGGCUUAUCAGCUUGUUGGUGGGGUAGUGGCUUACCAAGGCUUUGACGGGUAGCCGGCCUGGGAGGGUGACCGGCCACCUUGGGACUAAGAGACGGACCAGACUCCUACGGGGGGCAGCGGUGGGAAAUAUUGCACAAUGGGCGGAAGCGUGAUGCAGCGACGCCGCGUGCGUGAUGACGGCCUUCGGGUUGUAAACCGCUUUCGCCUGUGACGAAGCGUGAGUGACGGUAAUGGGUAAAGAAGCACCGGCUAACUACGUG